rnacentral:rRNA from 1 species
CCAAUAGCGUAUAUUAAAGUUGUUGCAGUUAAAAAGCUCGUAGUUGAAUUUCGGGAUCAAAUUGUCGGUCGUGCCUCGGUACGCACUGGUAUUAUUGGUUCCUACCUUCUGAAGAACCGCGAUGUCAUUAACUUGGUGUUGUGGGGAAUCAGGACUGUUACUUUGAAAAAAUUAGAGUGUUUAAAGCAGGCUUACGCUUGAAUACAUUAGCAUGGAAUAAUGAAAUAGGACGUUUGAUUCUAUUUUGUUGGUUUCUAGGAUUGACGUAAUGAUUAAUAGGGAUAGUUGGGGGCAUUAGUAUUCAAUUGUCAGAGGUGAAAUUCUUGGAUUUAUUGAAGACUAACUACUGCGAAAGCAUUUGCCAAGGAUGUUUUCAUUAAUCAAGAACGAAAGUUAGGGGAUCGAAGACGAUCAGAUACCGUCGUAGUCUUAACCAUAAACUAUGCCGACUAGGGAUCGGAUGAUGUUAAUUUUUUAAUGACUCAUUCGGCGCCUUACG